rnacentral:rRNA from 1 species
UACGAAGGGGGCUAGCGUUGCUCGGAAUCACUGGGCGUAAAGCGCACGUAGGCGGGUCGUUAAGUCGAGGGUGAAAUCCUGGAGCUCAACUCCAGAACUGCCUUCGAUACUGGCGGCCUUUAGUCCGGGAGAGGUGAGUGGAACUGCGAGUGUAGAGGUGAAAUUCGUAGAUAUUCGCUAGAACCCCAGUGGCGAAGGCGGCUCACUGGCCCGGUACUGACGCUGAGGUGCGAUAGCGUGGGGAGCAAACAGG